rnacentral:rRNA from 1 species
AGAGUUUGAUCCUGGCUCAGGAUGAACGCUGGCGGCGUGCCUAACACAUGCAAGUCGAGCGAUUCCCUUCGGAGAAGAGCGGCGGACGGGUGAGUAACGCGUGGGUAACCUGCCCUGUACACACGGAUAACAUACCGAAAGGUAUGCUAAUACGGGAUAACAUAAGAAAUUCGCAUGUUUUUCUUAUCAAAGCUCCGGCGGUACAGGAUGGACCCGCGUCUGAUUAGCUAGUUGGUGAGGUAACGGCUCACCAAGGCGACGAUCAGUAGCCGACCUGAGAGGGUGAUCGGCCACAUUGGAACUGAGACACGGUCCAGACUCCUACGGGAGGCAGCAGUGGGGAAUAUUGCACAAUGGGCGAAAGCCUGAUGCAGCAACGCCGCGUGAGCGAUGAAGGCCUUCGGGUCGUAAAGCUCUGUCCUCAAGGAAGAUAAUGACGGUACUUGAGGAGGAAGCCCCGGCUAACUACGUGCCAGCAGCCGCGGUAAUACGUAGGGGGCUAGCGUUAUCCGGAUUUACUGGGCGUAAAGGGUGCGUAGGCGGUCUUUUAAGUCAGGAGUGAAAGGCUACGGCUCAACCGUAGUAAGCUCUUGAAACUGGAGGACUUGAGUGUCGGAGGGGCAAUCGGAAUUCCUAGUGUAGCGGUGAAAUGCGUAGAUAUUAGGAGGAACACCAGUGGCGAAGGCGGAUUGCUGGACGAUAACUGACGGUGAGGCGCGAAAGUGUGGGGAGCAAACAGGAUUAGAUACCCUGGUAGUCCACACUGUAAACGAUGAAUACUAGGUGUGCGGGGACUGACCCCCUGCGUGCCGCAGUAAACACAAUAAGUAUUCCACCUGGGGAGUACGAUCGCAAGGUUGAAACUCAAAGGAAUUGACGGGGGCCCGCACAAGCGGUGGAUUAUGUGGUUUAAUUCGAAGCAACGCGAAGAACCUUACCAGGGUUUGACAUCCUGCUAACGAAGUAGAGAUACAUUAGGUGCCCUUCGGGGAAAGCAGAGACAGGUGGCGCAUGGUUGUCGUCAGCUCGUGUCGUGAGAUGUUGGGUUAAGUCCCGCAACGAGCGCAACCCCUAUUGUUAGUUGCUACGCAAGAGCACUCUAGCGAGACUGCCGUUGACAAAACGGAGGAAGGUGGGGACGACGUCAAAUCAUCAUGCCCCUUAUAUCCUGGGCUACACACGUAAUACAAUGGCGGUCAACAGAGGGAAGCAAAGCCGCGAGGCAGAGCAAACCCCCAAAAGCCGUCCCAGUUCAGAUUGUAGGCUGCAACUCGCCUGCAUGAAGUCGGAAUCGCUAGUAAUCGCGGAUCAGCAUGCCGCGGUGAAUACGUUCCCGGGCCUUGUACACACCGCCCGUCACACCAUGAGAGUCGGGAACACCCGAAGUCCGUAGCCUAACCUGAAAAGGAGGGCGCGGCCGAAGGUGGGUUCGAUAAUUGGGGUGAAGUCGUAACAAGGUA